ACAGGGAUUGCCCUAGUAACGGCGAGUGAAGCGGCAACAGCUCAAAUUUGAAAUCUGGCGUCUUUGGCGUCCGAGUUGUAAUUUGCAGAGGGCGCUUUGGCGUUGGCAGCGGUCCAAGUUCCUUGGAACAGGACGUCACAGAGGGUGAGAAUCCCGUACGUGGUCGCUGGCCUUCGCCGUGUAAAGCCCCUUCGACGAGUCGAGUUGUUUGGGAAUGCAGCUCUAAAUGGGAGGUAAAUUUCUUCUAAAGCUAAAUACUGGCCAGAGACCGAUAGCGCACAAGUAGAGUGAUCGAAAGAUGAAAAGCACUUUGGAAAGAGAGUCAAACAGCACGUGAAAUUGUUGAAAGGGAAGCGCUUGCAGCCAGACUUGCCUGUAGUUGCUCAUCCGGGCUUUUGCCCGGUGCACUCUUCUAUAGGCAGGCCAGCAUCAGUUUGGGCGGUUGGAUAAAGGUCUCUGUCAUGUACCUCUCUUCGGGGAGAACUUAUAGGGGAGACGACAUGCAACCAGCCUGGACUGAGGUCCGCGCAUCUGCUAGGAUGCUGGCGUAAUGGCUGUAAGCGGCCCGUCUUGAAACACGGACCAAGGAGUCUAACAUCUAUGCGAGUGUUUGGGUGUCAAGCCCGAGCGCGCAAUGAAAGUGAACGGAGGUGGGAACCUUUCGGGGUGCACCAUCGACCGAUCCUGAUGUCUUCGGAUGGAUUUGAGUAAGAGCAUAGCUGUUGGGACCCGAAAGAUGGUGAACUAUGCUUGAAUAGGGUGAAGCCAGAGGAAACUCUGGUGGAGGCUCGCAGCGGUUCUGACGUGCAAAUCGAUCGUCAAAUUUGGGCAUAGGGGCGAAAGACUAAUCGAACUAUCUAGUAGCUGGUUCCUGCCGAAGUUUCCCUCAGGAUAGCAGUAACGUAUUCAGUUUUAUGAGGUAAAGCGAAUGAUUAGAGGCCUGGGGGUUGAAACAACCUU
rnacentral:rRNA from 4 species